rnacentral:rRNA from 1 species
CAGAGGUGGCAAGCGUUGUUCGGAUUUAUUGGGCGUAAAGGGUUCGUAGGCGGAUCGGAAAGUCAGAUGUGAAAUCCCACAGCUCAACUGUGGAACUGCAUUUGAAACUUCCGGACUAGAGUGUGAGAGGGGUAAAGGGAAUUCCCGGUGUAAGGGUGAAAUCUGCAGAGAUCGGGAGGAACACCAGUCGCGAAGGCGCUUUACUGGCUCACUACUGACGCUCAGGAACGAAAGCUAGGGUAGCAAACGGGAUUAGAUACCCCGGUAGUCCUAGCCGUAAACUAUGGUCACUAGGUGUUGGGAGGGUUAAACCUUUCAGUGCCGUCGCUCACGCAUUAAGUGACCCGCCUGGGGAGUACGGUCGCGAGGCUG